rnacentral:misc_RNA from 1 species
UCUCCGUAGGUGAACCUGCGGAGGGAUCAUUACAGAGUUCAUGCCCUACCGGGUAGAUCUCCCACCCUAUGUUAUUAUUACUUUGUUGCUUUGGCGGGCCGUUAGGCUCCGGCCCGACUACCGGCCCCGGCUGGUAAGCGCCCGCCCGAGGACCCAAAACCCUGAAUAUUAGUGUCGUCUGAGUACUAUAUAAUAAUUAAAACUUUCAACAACGGAUCUCUUGGUUCUG